UGGGGAAUAUUGCACAAUGGGCGCAAGCCUGAUGCAGCCAUGCCGCGUGUGUGAAGAAGGCCUUCGGGUUGUAAAGCACUUUCAGCGAGGAGGAAGGUGGUGGACUUAAUACGUUCAUCAAUUGACGUUACUCGCAGAAGAAGCACCGGCUAACUCCGUGCCAGCAGCCGCGGUAAUACGGAGGGUGCAAGCGUUAAUCGGAAUUACUGGGCGUAAAGCGCACGCAGGCGGUUUGUUAAGUCAGAUGUGAAAUCCCCGGGCUCAACCUGGGAACUGCAUUUGAAACUGGCAAGCUAGAGUCUCGUAGAGGGGGGUAGAAUUCCAGGUGUAGCGGUGAAAUGCGUAGAGAUCUGGAGGAAUACCGGUGGCGAAGGCGGCCCCCCUGGACGAAGACUGACGCUCAGGUGCGAAAAGCGUGGGGAGCAAAACAGGAUUAGAUACCCUGGUAGUCCACGCUGUAAAACGAUGUCGAUUUGGAGGUUGUGCCCUUGAGGCGUGGCUUCCGGAGCUAACGCGUUAAAUCGACCGCCUGGGGAGUACGGCCGCAAGGUUAAAACUCAAAGGAAUUG
rnacentral:rRNA from 1 species